rnacentral:rRNA from 1 species
GAUGAACGCUGGCGGCGUGCCUAAUACAUGCAAGUCGAGCGAACAGACGAGGAGCUUGCUCCUCUGACGUUAGCGGCGGACGGGUGAGUAACACGUGGAUAACCUACCUAUAAGACUGGGAUAACUUCGGGAAACCGGAGCUAAUACCGGAUAAUAUAUUGAACCGCAUGGUUCAAUAGUGAAAGACGGUUUUGCUGUCACUUAUAGAUGGAUCCGCGCCGCAUUAGCUAGUUGGUAAGGUAACGGCUUACCAAGGCAACGAUGCGUAGCCGACCUGAGAGGGUGACCGGCAACACUGGGACUGAGAAACGGCCCAGACUGCUACGGGAGGCAGCAGUGGGGAAUAUUGAAAAAUGGGCGGAAGCCUGAUGCAGCAACGCAGCGUGAGGGAUGACGGCCUUCGGGUUGUAAACAUAUUUUAGCAGGGAAGAAGCGAAAGUGACGGUACCUGCAGAAAAAGAACCGGCUAACUACGUG